GCAGUCGCCGCGGGAAUACAGAGGGUGCGAGCGUUAAUCGGAUUUACUGGGCGUAAAGCGUGCGUAGGCGGCUUUUUAAGUCGGAUGUGAAAUCCCUGAGCUUAACUUAGGAAUUGCAUUCGAUACUGGGAAGCUAGAGUAUGGGAGAGGAUGGUAGAAUUCCAGGUGUAGCGGUGAAAUGCGUAGAGAUCUGGAGGAAUACCGAUGGCGAAGGCAGCCAUCUGGCCUAAUACUGACGCUGAGGUACGAAAGCAUGGGGAGCAAACAGGAUUAGAUACCCGUGUAGUCCCUGUCUCUUAUAC
rnacentral:rRNA from 1 species